rnacentral:rRNA from 1 species
AUUGAACGCUGGCGGCAGGCCUAACACAUGCAAGUCGAGCGGAUGAAGGGAGCUUGCUCCUGGAUUCAGCGGCGGACGGGUGAGUAAUGCCUAGGAAUCUGCCUGGUAGUGGGGGAUAACGUCCGGAAACGGGCGCUAAUACCGCAUACGUCCUGAGGGAGAAAGUGGGGGAUCUUCGGACCUCACGCUAUCAGAUGAGCCUAGGUCGGAUUAGCUAGUUGGUGGGGUAAAGGCCUACCAAGGCGACGAUCCGUAACUGGUCUGAGAGGAUGAUCAGUCACACUGGGACUGAGACACGGUCCAGACUCCUACGGGAGGCAGCAGUGGGGAAUAUUGGACAAUGGGCGAAAGCCUGAUCCAGCCAUGCCGCGUGUGUGAAGAAGGUCUUCGGAUUGUAAAGCACUUUAAGUUGGGAGGAAGGGCAGUAAGUUAAUACCUUGCUGUUUUGACGUUACCAACAGAAUAAGCACCGGCUAACUUCG